UUGUAUAAUGGGUCAGCGACUUAUAUUCUGUAGCAAGGUUAACCGUAUAGGGGAGCCGUAGGGAAACCGAGUCUUAACCGGGCGUUAAGUUGCAGGGUAUAGACCCGAAACCCGGUGAUCUAGCCAUGGGCAGGUUGAAGGUUGGGUAACACUAACUGGAGGACCGAACCGACUAAUGUUGAAAAAUUAGCGGAUGACCUGUGGCUGGGGGUGAAAGGCCAAUCAAACCGGGAGAUAGCUGGUUCUCCCCGAAAGCUAUUUAGGUAGCGCCUCGUGAAUUCAUCUCCGGGGGUAGAGCACUGUUUCGGCUAGGGGGCCAUCCCGGCUUACCAACCCGAUGCAAACUGCGAAUACCGGAGAAUGUUAUCACGGGAGACACACGGCGGGUGCUAACGUCCGUCGUGAAGAGGGAAACAACCCAGACCGCCAGCUAAGGUCCCAAAGUCAUGGUUAAGUGGGAAACGAUGUGGGAAGGCCCAGACAGCCAGGAUGUUGGCUUAGAAGCAGCCAUCAUUUAAAGAAAGCGUAAUAGCUCACUGGUCGAGUCGGCCUGCGCGGAAGAUGUAACGGGGCUAAACCAUGCACCGAAGCUGCGGCAGCGAACGUAUCACCCAAGACAACUUUACGGAGUUGACGAUUGACGGAGCGAAGCGACGUCAAAGCGUUCAUUAAAGUCGAGUUGGCUUAGGGAUACGUUCGUUGGGUAGGGGAGCGUUCUGUAAGCCUGUGAAGGUGUGUCGUGAGGCAUGCUGGAGGUAUCAGAAGUGCGAAUGCUGACAUAAGUAACGAUAAAGCGGGUGAAAAGCCCGCUCGCCGGAAGACCAAGGGUUCCUGUCCAACGUUAAUCGGGGCAGGGUGAGUCGACCCCUAAGGCGAGGCCGAAAGGCGUAGUCGAUGGGAAACGGGUUAAUAUUCCCGUACUUGGUGUUACUGCGAAGGGGGGACGGAGAAGGCUAUGUUGGCCGGGCGACGGUUGUCCCGGUUUAAGCGUGUAGGUGUGUGUUCCAGGUAAAUCCGGUUCACUUUAACACUGAGGCGUGACGACGAGGCACUACGGUGCUGAAGCAACAAAUGCCCUGCUUCCAGGAAAAGCCUCUAAGCAUCAGGUAACACGAAAUCGUACCCCAAACCGACACAGGUGGUCAGGUAGAGAAUACCAAGGCGCUUGAGAGAACUCGGGUGAAGGAACUAGGCAAAAUGGUGCCGUAACUUCGGGAGAAGGCACGCUGACACGUAGGUGAAGUGAUUUACUCAUGGAGCUGAAGUCAGUCGAAGAUACCAGCUGGCUGCAACUGUUUAUUAAAAACACAGCACUGUGCAAACACGAAAGUGGACGUAUACGGUGUGACGCCUGCCCGGUGCCGGAA
rnacentral:rRNA from 2 species